rnacentral:rRNA from 1 species
GACGAACGCUGGCGGCGUGCUUAACACAUGCAAGUCGAACGGAAAGGCCCUGCUUUUGUGGGGGGCUCGAGUGGCGAAAGGGUGAGUAACACGUGAGUAACCUGCCCUUGACUUUGGGGUAAAUUCAGGAAACUGGGGCUAAUACCGGAUAGGAGGUCCUGCUGCAUGGUGGGGGGUGGAAAGGUUCGGCGGUUGGGGAUGGACUCGCGGCUUAUCAGCUUGUUGGUGGGGUAGUGGCUUACCAAGGCUUUGACGGGUAGCCGGCCUGAGAGGGUGACCGGCCACAUUGGGACUGAGAUACGGCCCAGACUCCUACGGGAGGCAGCAGUGGGGAAUAUUGCACAAUGGGCGGAAGCCUGAUGCAGCAACGCCGCGUGCGGGAUGACGGCCUUCGGGUUGUAAACCGCUUUCGCCUGUGACGAAGCGUGAGUGACGGUAAUGGGUAAAGAAGCACCGGCUAACUACGUG